UACGUAGGGGGCUAGCGUUGUCCGGAAUCAUUGGGCGUAAAGCGCGUGUAGGCGGUCCGGUAAGUCCGCUGUGAAAGUCGGGGGCUCAACCCUCGAAUGCCGGUGGAUACUGUCGGGCUAGAGUGCGGAAGGGGCGAGUGGAAUUCCGCGUGUAGCAGUGAAAUGCGUAGAGAUGCGGAGGAACACCGAUGGCGAAGGCAGCCCCCUGGGCCAACACUGACGCUCAGGCACGAAAGCGUGGGGAGCAAACAGG
rnacentral:rRNA from 1 species